CCUGAGAAACCCAAAAGAUCGAAUGGGGAGAUUCAUCGUCAGCGGCGCUGGCACGCGGUCGGCUUUGCGAUGCAGCGCGGCCGUUCGCGGUCGCGCGGGCACGCGGCCGUCCGCGAGCCGGGGUUCAUAGCCCCGGUGCCUGUUGCCUGGCGUCGUCGGCGUGCACUUCUCCCCUGGUAGGACGUCGCGACCCGUUGGGCGUCGGUCCACGGCCCGGGUGGGAGUCUGUCUCGUGUGCGCCUCGCGGCGUUUCCAGCGGGUCAGACCCCCGGUCGCCCGACCGGCUGCCCGGCGGUACUCGCACGGUAUAUGGCCGCAAUGUAAUCUCGAACGCUGCGUCCGGCCCGUCGUCAGCGUGGCAAGUGGUUCCCGGUGCGAGCGGAUCCGAGGCCGCCACCGAGCCUGGCCAGCUGUUUGACCGACGCGGCUUGAAAAAUAAACGAAGGACCGGCCAAUCGCGCAAAAUUGCGUAAGCACGUUACCGGUCGGCGACGCUACUGCUUUGGGUACUUUCAGGA
rnacentral:rRNA from 1 species